rnacentral:rRNA from 1 species
AAAUUAUUUCAAUUUUCUUUCACAAUACUAUUACACUAUAAUUAAAAUUAUUUUUUCUUUAUUAAAUACUAAAACAAAUCUUUAUAUAAUUAUUUUUAAUAAUUUAAAAUUUAAAAAUAUAAAUUUAAUAAAUAAAAUAUAAUCAAUUUAUAUUGAUUUGCACAAAAAUCUUUUCAAUGUAAAUGAAAUACUUUACUUAAUAAGCUUUAAAUUGCAUUCUAGGUACACUUUCCAGUACAUCUACUAUGUUACGACUUAUCUUACCUUAAUAAUAAGAGUGACGGGCGAUGUGUGCAUAUUUUAGAGCUAAAAUCAAAUUAUUAGUCUUUAUAAUUUUACUAUCAAAUCCACCUUCAAUAAAUAUUUCAAAUUUAUAUUCGUAUAAAUAAAUUUAUUGUAACCCAUUUCUACUUAAAUAUAAGCUACACCUUGAUCUGAUAUAUUUUCUUUUUAAAAAUUUUGAAAAUUAACAUUCUUAUAAAAUAUUCUAAUAACGACGGUAUAUAAACUGAUUACAAACUUAAGUAAGGUCCAUCGUGGAUUAUCGAUUAUAGAACAGGUUCCUCUGAAUAGACUAAAAUACCGCCAAAUUUUUUAAGUUUCAAGAACAUAACUA